rnacentral:tRNA from 1 species
CGGGGUAUAGCGCAGUCUGGUAGCGCGCCUGCUUUGGGAGCAGGAAGUCGGGGGUUCAAAUCCCUCUGCCCCGACCA